UAACAAAGAUGGAAGAAAAAAAAGAAAUCCUCUUGGGUCUGUGAUGAUCAUUUCAUCUUUCACCCUCACCUGCUUCUCUGAGUCCUUGUACAACCGGAUCUUCCCCAAAGUCCUCCAAGGUUCUCACAUGCAAAUCUGAAACAAACAUACCAACCUGAACUAGAUCUCAAAGCCAGGAACCUGAUCGAGAAAUCUAAGUGGCCACUGUGAGCCAGCAUCUAGCCUGAUCCACUCACUUCUGGCCACAAUAGCCACACGGUCUCCUGUCAAAUAAACAUGGCUUUAAGGCAUUCCUCAUGAAUGGCUGUGGAGGUCACAGAGGGACAGGAUAAUGGUGGUAUAACAAGAUUCUCACAAAGUGCACAGAGCAACCUAUAGUUCCGGCAGGGCUAUAUUUCUCUAUAGAAUGCUUAGCUCAGUCAAGAGUCAUCAGGGCAUACCUACAAGUGGGCUCCAAAUUCAUCCCACUGCUCUGCAUGGUAACAGAUUAUCACCCACUCCCUCACAUUCGUUAUGGGUCUUUGGUUUCUCUUCGGCUGCCUUUUUUCUUCCCUCUCUGGAAGCAGAUGUGCCCUGUGAAAAUGAGGUUUGAUACAGCAUUGUCUUUGGUUUGUCUCCAGAUGUGGCCAAUUUAACGUCUCAGUCAUAGGAUGGCAAACAAAUGCAUUCCAGGGAGGAAUUAAGUGAUGGCAUUUAAGUCUUAAUUGCUGCUUAGAAUGAUAUCCUUUUUUAAUACUUGAUUCAAGUAAAUGGACUCAUAGUUCUCCAAGUUUAACUUAAAAGAGCUGUGGAGCUAACAAGACAAUAAUUAGCCUCUAUAGCAUUUCGUGAAAUGAAAAUAAAUGUAGUUGUGCAGCCUUUUUACAUUCGAAAAGUGUGACUACUAGAUAUUUAGUCCUAGCAUAGUUUAUAUCUUCUCUCCCACAUAACUACCGAUGUGCAAAAUCUCUUUCUUAACGAAACAUGAAAACCCUGAACACAUCUGUCAUGCUGGAUCCCCCACAACCACACAGCAAAAGAAUCUUGAAUUAGUGAAGCACAAAAUUAGCCUGGUUUUUCUUUGUGAGCUCUGGUGCCUGGGUAGCUCCUUUCAAAUCGUAAUUCCAUUUAUUUAAAGGGGGUGCUUGCAGGAGUUUCUACUGUGCCAUGUAAAAUUUUGUAAGUCCAUGCUAAAGGGCUUGUCUGAAGAGAAUCCGUGCUCCCUGAAGAUGCAAAGAGCUGCUGGCUGCAGGAAGUAAAAGCAAAGACUGCAGCUUGGAAAAAAUCCUAAAGGCGGGCAGGUACUGAAUGAAGUGGCUGCGAUGGUUCUGCAUGUGAAGCACUAGCCCUGUGCUGACUUUUCCUCCAUUCAUCCAUCCACCCAUCCACCCAUCCCUCUCUCUAUCCAGCCAUAUAUCUGUACGUCCAUCUAUCCAUUUGUCCCCAUUCUCAUAUAUCUUCCCAUCUAUCCAUUCACCCACCCAUCCAUACAUCCAUACAUUUAACCCUCCUCCCACCCUCUCACACAUUUAUCCACUUAUCCUCCCAUCCAUCCACCACCCAUCCAUUCUUCCAUUCAGCUACACAACUUUCCAUCCAAACAUCCUUCCAUCCAGACAUCCUCUAACCUAACCACCAUCCAUCCGUCUGUCUGCCCAUCAACCCAUCUAUGCUGUACUCAGAGUCUAACACUAUUAUAGUUCUGACCAAUCAGCAAAAAACAAGGAUCAGAGGUGAUAAUGCCAAGAAACCUAUACCUAAAGGCUCUCUGUCAGUCAUUUUAAUAGGACAUGAAGUAGUGGCUUAUUAGAAAGCUAUUCAGGGUUUGUUUGAGUAAUUUGAAAUAGAUAUAGUAUGGGAAAGCUGCUAAGCCUGGUCCAGCAGUUGCCUAAAUAGGCUCUUUGGACAAGGACUAUAAGAAAGAAGAAACAAAACAAAACAACAAACAAACAAACAAAAACAAGCAAUCAAACCAAGGAAACAAGGAAAGGAACGAGCGUCAUGGAAAGCACAGCUACCUAAAGAAGGAUACAGAGAUGGACUUCAUAAAGCCAUGCCAUCCUCAUGUUCCAAUACCUUCUAGAAUCUUUAUUUUCUACCUUUUUAAAAUAAUGCCUAGCAACAAUUAUUUGAAACAUCCAGACUUCCAUUGUGUUCUAUAGUCUUUUGUGACCUCAUACAGUACAGGCUGGGCUGCAGUUCAAUGUAGCUAAAGAUGACUUUGAACUCAGCCCUUGUGACUCCACCUCCAAAGAGCUGAGAUUCAGAUGGCGUAGAUCCAGGAGAAUACAAGCUACUUUUGCUAGGAAGAAUCUCCUAGUUGUAAGCUGAGUCACUGGAAACAUCUUUGUCCACAGAACAUAGGAGACCACAGUGUUCUGAAGCAUUUGGAAAUUUUGUGUCCAGGUGAAGGGAUCUGUCUCCUGGAGCAUACCUCAGCAGAAAGAAAAAAAAAUCUUCACAGUUUUAUCAACCUACCAUGCUGACUAGGUGAUGGCUUGUCAAGGCAAGUUUAAAACCCAGCUAAAAGUUCCCUGAAGUGAGAGGUGGAAUCUCACUUUCAGAUCUCAAAUCCAGUGAAAUUUGACAAAUCCCCAAAGCAGGAGAAGUGUUGCUCUCUGACUCUCUAAGAGAACAGCCCAAGCAGCUACACUGUUUCUGGAUGUUACUAGGGCUGCUGAGUCAUGGAACCUUGAGACAAUUCAGAAGAAAUCACCCUUUUCUAUGCCUGUUAGGAUGGAGAAGCUACCCAGAGGUGCUUUAGUAAAUAGCCCAUGCUGAUGUCUCCUCACCCAUUCUAGCCCAGCAUUUAGAUGCAUGAGCUAAAAAUCUAUCCCGCAAUGGGAUCCCAUAGCGCAGUCCCAGGCCAGUCCUGCAGCAAUCCCUGAGGAGAAGCUGGAAUUCAGACCAUACAAUAGAGAAAAGAGGUCCUCAUGUUUCCACCUGAGCUCCUGAGUCCCCCAAAUUGACAAGCACUGUGAACUGAUUGUUCUAUGCCACUACAAUAAACAAUGCUCCAUGAUAAAUAAUGAUUUUCUAUAUACUUCAAUUAAUUAAGACUAUCUGCUGAAAGUGACUCACCACCUAUAGUGUGGAACUCUCUCGAAGGCCCUGGGUUCUAGGCCCAGCAUAGCCCUAAAGAAACACCUGACUGGAAGAAAACCUUACCAACUGAGUUUCUACUCCCUUCUGUGUACCAGAGUUGUAGGUAGGAACAAGAGUCCCAGCAACCCCAGGAAGGUUAGUAGCCAGAAGAGUCUCUUCCUUCCUGUAUUAAUCGCUAGGUUUAUAGCUGCAAUCAAAUGUCAGAUAAGACACAGUCUCAAGGAGGAAGUUUCAUUUUGCCUCCAUCACAGCAGGGAAGGCAUGGCAUCAAGGAACAGGAGGUCGUUGUUUCAUAGCACCUCUGCAGUCAGAAAGCUUUAAAUACUCAGGAAGUGGGUGUGGACUAUAAAGUCUCAAUGCCUCUCUCCAUUUCCAUGACCUUUUUCUUCCUGCGAGGCUCCACCUCCUAAAGGUUCAGCAAUCAUUCUAAAUGGCCCUUCUAUCUGGGGAUCAAGUCCCCAAGCAUGAGAGUCUAUUGGGGAACAUUUUACAUUGAAACCACAACAAAGCAUAUGAUCUACAUUUGAUCUGCAGACCUUUGGAAAUGCAUAAGGAACCUGCAUAAGACACCAGGCUCCUUGCUUUUAAAUUCAUAGAAAUUAAUUUGCCUUUGACCCCAUAGACUUACCAGAUUAAAAGAGUUGGAAAACCAGGAGGACAAUCAAUAAAAGAAUUGCUAUGGGUUUCUGUUUCACAGUGGAACCAUUUUCAUCUUAUGUUUUAUCCACUGAGAUACUGAAAUGAGUAUUUCCACAGAAUCAACUUGAGAAUUUAUAGGCUAGUCCUAUGGUUAUAACAGAAACGAAAUAGGGAAAUGGAUCUGCCAUCCGAUCUGAAGGCUAGAUUACAUACAAGGCACCACUCUGACCUCCCAUCCUAAAUAUUUGUAUGAACCACCACUCUCCUGUCUUCUCUAACAGUAAAUAAGAACAUAUUUCAGAACACGAGGUACAGUGGAUACACAAACACAGGCUUCCUGGUUUGUUACCUAGAGGCUUAUCGCCAUCCCAAGACUAUCCCUCAUGUACCACCCGGAAUAGCAUCAGGUUCCAAGGAUGAGGAAAAUGAGUAAUAGUUCUUGCCAUCUUCAGAAUAUUUUAUGACAUUAUUCACUAAGAACAGAUAUCCGGGGUUCUCUGAUUGGAUGGCAUUUGAGGGAAAGAUAAAGGUCUUGGGAUGGUCUCAGCAAGGUGGUAGUUAUUUUUUAAACCCCUCUGGAUAUGGCAGAGGCACACUCUAACCAAAAAAAAAAAUGGAGAAUACACUUGCAUAACCAGUUGUUAAACUGACUGGUUAUGGCUAUGUCAGACACUAAUUUAUUGUAUUUUCCUCUUUGAAGAGUAGGAAAUCCUCACUUUUUCUCUCCACAGCAUGAUAGCAACCAUAUAGAAACAUGAGGAUCAUAACACAAAACCAAAAUUAUUUGCUAUUUCUACACUCAGACUACUUCAUCAGAAGGAAGAUGGUCUUGAAUAUAGGUUGGCAUUCUAAAAAUGUCCUCCCCUACAAGGGAAGAUCCUCUCUAAGAUACAGGUUUAUAUGUCUGGGAUAACUACUGGGUAAAUUAUUCUUAAUAACAUAACUAGUUAUUAAUCCUUGGUUCUAUAUCUGAAUCGAUAACUCUCACACCAUAUUCCCCAGAAUUCCCUCUAACAAGGAUCCAGAUUUCUACAUCCUCAACUUAUUAAGAAGAAAUUAAAUUUGUUUAAUCUUCUGCCUUCCUGAAAGAAUAAAAUUUUAUAUGAGACUGCAAGACAAAGGAAGAAAGGCAAUGGUUGUUCACAUGAGAAUUCAUUUAUGUGACGAAACAACAGCAAGACUGUGAGAGAAAAGGCCAUAGAUAUAAGACGUACUAGGGACCCACUUUUCUCACAUUCCCAUGCAGACAUCUCCAUUUGAUCACAGCACCAUUUCAUCUACCUGCUGGGGCCCCACCUUUCCGACAUAGAAUGCAGACAUCACCAAUCUAUCACACCAUUUCUUUUACACACAUACCAGGCCCUAUAAUCUUCUUCCUGGUACAAUCCUACAAAGGGAGGGUUUCUAUGCACAUGUUGAUAGGUAUAAGUAUAUAAAUUAACAUAAGUAUUAUAAAAAUAGAGUUGCCUUAAAACAUAUAACUAGAAGUAGACUUUAUGUCUUUAAAUCCCAGUAUGAAGUAAGUAUUCAGAGUAUAUUGAGAUGUUCUUACAAUCACAUGCUAGAGUGACAUCUGUCCCCUCUGCCCCCAGUAAACUAUAGCAUUUUUAUGAUAGCCAAGACAGAGAAGAAACCAAUUCAUUAAUGCAUAUAGAAGAAGUAUGGAGUUUAGACAGACAACAGAAUACUAUCCUACCAUAAAAGGCUAAAAUCCUUCAUUUCUAGAAACUUGGCUGAGCCUAGAGGGCAUUAUGUUCAGUAAUGACAGAAAAGGCUCAGUAAAGGAGCCAGACACAGAAAGACAAGUACCUUAUGCCAUUCUUUAUCUGUACAAUCUAAAAUGGUUUAUCUCAUAGAAAAUGAAAGUUGAACAAAAGUUAACAUAAGCUAAGGAGAGAAAAGAAGGAGGAGGUAGAGAGAGAGAGGUUAGUUAAUAGGUAUACAUUUGCCAUUCAACAGUAAUUUUAAGCUCAAAUAUUCUACCACAUAACAGGAUGAUCACAGCUAAUUUUAACAUAGAUGGAAGAGAAAUCUUGAGUGAUCAUACCCUGAGGAAAUAACUAAUGUUUAUGAAGAUGAAUAUUAUGGUUGGAUCAUGAUACAGUGUAUGCUUAGCUAGGAACGCAUGUUAUACUUUAUGAACAAAUAUCUUGUGUUAAUUUAAAGGAAAGCUUGGGCCAGUAAGAUGGGUCAGCGGUUGAAACUAUUUGCUGUCAAGCUUAAAGACCUUAGGUCAACCUCUUGGACCCAAAAGCGUUCUCAAAAAGUUGAUUUUUUAAAAAAAUGUAUGUCAAAGAUAUUAAAAGAACAAAAAGCAAAAUGCAGAGUCAGCCAGAUGGGAGCUUGAAGUAGAAAGAUCCUUGAUCAGGGCUUCACAGCUCUUGAGCCAUAAGGUAGAAUUUGCUCCAUUCUGAUGUGAUGGCUUCCUAGACAGAUGACUGUAUUUACCACAGCCUUCACCUUCUAUUGAGUUCAUCUUCAGCUUUUUAAUGUGAGGUUGGUGGUAAAAAUCUCUGAACUAUUCAAGGCGAAUCUUGUCUGUCAUCCCCAGACACCUCUCCAGAUACGUUUAGACAACGAUCUUAUCUUCGCUUCCUCUUCCUUUGAACGUGAGCAAUGCUGUCAAGUCUAUCAGAUUGUAGUAGAAUAACAAGAAUUUCUAAGGAGGGGUACAGGAAGGAGUCCCGGCAAGGAUGAAAAGCCUGCCUCUUCAGCAAAGAGAGAACCUGAAUGAAAUACUUGGAUGUUGCUGCUUCUGGCUCCAUCGUCUAUCCUGAAGUGGGGUGAUAAGUGAAAUUACCAGAGUCUAAAUUUAGAGCAGAUCAAAAUAAUUCCUUUACCAUACCAUGUACCCUGCUACUAUAGGUUAUUAUUGAGGCAAAUUGAGAUAACCAUUUGGGAAAGGAUCGGGGACUUAUAUGAAUAAGAACAGCUUGUGCAGGUCACAGCAGGGAUCACAAUUACGUGGCCAAUUAGUUCCCCAGUAGGGACAGAGUGCCAGCAAGCACAAGCUGGGGUCAGAGAGCAAGCUGCCCACAGAGUAAAACAGUGGCACCUAAUUUUCUUCACAUGUGGUAUCUGUGUCAAAUUUUCCUUCCAUAACUCCUCAAAGGGUCUGAGGGGCAUACAGUUCAUCUGGUGUGGUGUGAAUCACUUUAGGACUGACUUGUGGCUCUGGGUCAGAAGUGGAAACAGCCUCAGAGAAAUUAAUAAAACAAUUCAGUGCCCCAAAUCCUCCAAAUAGAUUCUCAAGCAUGGUGUCACAGAAAGGACAGUGUACAUCUGUCUACAGAGCAGCAAUUGUGGCCCUGUUUCAUAUCAGCUUGGUGGUUUUGAAGAAGUCACCUGCCUUAGCCAUCAUCAAUUCUCUCUUACAGGAGCAAACAACAUUAUGCUAUCCUAGCCUACAUAUUACUGUAGACCCUGGGGCUCCACGGCAGAGGAAAGUGGCUCACACCCCGCACCUGGUGUUUGUAGACAGCAAACAGUCACCUGGAGGAGACUAGACUCCCAUGCAUUAACUUUGGAAUCCAGGAAUCUUCAGCAGUGGCAAUUACCUUUAAUUGGAUGAUACCAGCCACAGUGGGACCACCCAUAUCAACCAUCAAUCAAUACAGUGCUCCACUUUCCCACAGACUCUAACACAGAGGGGUCAGGCCAGAGAGCUCCUGAGAUUCUUUCAAAUCCUACCAUUCAUGUACAGAGGCAAAGGUAACCAUUACCUUCAAUACUGAAAUCUUUCCACAAGACCCUGAAGCUUAGAGUAUAUCCACAGUCUUUGCAGUUGCACUAGAAAUGAUAUGGUGUCCAGUGAUGUGCCCAACUGCAGAGCAACCCUGUGCACCUUCUACAAGUUGGAGACUGGACUCCUUCCUCUAUGCUGGUCCAAGAUCUGGAAUGUGACAACUGUUAAGGUGUCCCAGGUCAACCUUGGCAUGCUAAGGAAGGAGCUUGUCCUGGAAGAUGACUGCUUGGGAGGAACGCAUCCGAGUGAUGUCCCUCUGUCUAGUGCAUCGUGUCUGCCAGUGGGAUGUUGUUUGCAAUAGACCAUCACGUACCAAGUCAGCUUUGUCAUUGUCCAUUCACCCCUCUAGCAGAGGCUGCUAGAAGCUGGCUUCUAUUCUGCUGCUUUGACAUUGCCAGAUCACCUGCAACUAAGGGACCAAAUCUUUCUCAGGACAGAAAUAACAAUAGAAAUACUUAUGCUUCUGAAGCCAACCAUGUCCUCAAACCCAUUAUGUUUCUUCUUGAUACUUGUCUCACUUGGACCAUUCAAUCUGAAAGGUGGGUAAACUUUCUAUGUGUAUAAUUAUAACCCAAACUUCCUAAUUUGUAUCAUAGAAUCUUAUGUUGGACAACUAAGGCAGCUUAUCUAACUUGAGUAUCUGGUCCAUGAUAUUUGAUAGUCUUCAUAUGGGACCCAGAAAAGUAUUUACUAAGAAAGUUAGUCGUCUGGAGUUCAGCUGUGGACCCCGACCCCCUUGGUUCUAGGCUCAGGGUUACUUGUCAUUCCAUGUGUAACUUUGAAGCCAACACUUAAAUCUCAAUUUCUCUCUCUGUCAAAUUAGCAUGUCAACCUUAGUCCCACAGAUCAGCAGAGCUCCUGAUUCAUUUUAAAGGUUUGAAAUGUAUUAACUGCUAAUAUAGGGGACUAUAAAAGAGAAAGUAAGUCCUUGAUUUUGAAAAUUGGGAAUGAAGCCAGGAAAGGAGAAAGUAUUGAUCUAGCGGCUGGCUCACCUGAGGACCCCACCACAGCCUUCCACCUCUCAAAUCCAAAAUCUUUGUAAUUUUUUAUACAUGAAGCAUAUAAAACUUUGAAGCCUAAAGUAUCAAUCUUUUUUUUACCCCUUCAUUCUUCCUCAGGGUCCUUUAAAAUGUUGUUAGCUAUGAGAUUACAGUUUCAUAAAGAUCAUUACUACUGGCUUCAUUGCCAGUGAAAUUUUUCUCUGUAAGGGGGUGGCUUCAUUUGAGGUGGAGAAUGGGAAGUCUAUUCAAGAAGCAGAAAGAGGGAGAAAAUCAAGAGGAGACCAUGAUGAAUAAUUUUAGACAUGGAAUCACGCUUGCAAACUCCAGAACUCUAGGGAAGGAAAUAAACUUGUUACAAGACAUAGCUGUUUGCUGGGAGUAAAAUCAGGAUUUUAUUCCCUUAAUCCAGAGGCUUCUGAGCCUUCUGUUGCUAAGAUUCAUUGAAAAUGCAAAUUGAGAAGAAAACAAAAUCAUUUUUAUUUGCCAAAAUAUUUUUCACCUCACCAAAGAUAAACUGUUGCCAGAUACAGAAACCAGGUUGAACAAAUUUCCUUCUUAAAGACCAAAGGGCCAGGGCCAGAUGAACCUGCUGGUGUCCUCUGACUAAAAGUCACAACUCUUUAGAGGACUGCCAUUAGCAGUUAGGAAGGGUCUCAACCACCAAUUAUUGUUCUGCACCUCUGCAUCCUUUGUGCUCUUCUUCUAUCUCAGGCAUCCACUUCACCCCUUCCCAGACACUCAUCCUUAGCCAAAGCUUCCAGCAAAGGGGACAUCCAAGACCAGACAGAGCCCUAUAUUUAUGCACUACCCUUAAGAUCCUAAUCUUCUUAUUGCGGCAUCAGUAACUCCACUGUGAGGGGCUUGGCAUUAGAGGCUUCAUGUAUGUACUUGUGUCUCCUGAAGUGCAGAAAGUAGGCUACACAUGAAAGAUUCCUAGGACUUCAAAACUCAUAGGGCUUAAACAAGUCUGUUGAUAGAAAAAGGGAGAAUCCAUACAACAUCAUUGAUGGGAGAUACCACACUGGAGUUUUCUCACUGAGCACAGACACAGACACAGACACAGACACAGACACACACACACACACACACACACACACACACACACGCAUACAUACACACAUGUGCACACACAUGGCAUCUAAUUUAAGGUUUCUAUUGUGGAUAAAUGCAUGACUAUGACUACUCUUAUAAAAGAAAACAUUUGGGUUGGGGAUUUAGCUCAGCGGUAGAGCGCUUGCCUAGCAAGUGCAAGGCCCUGGGUUCGGUUCCCAGCUCCGAAAAAAGAAAAAAGAAAAAGAAAAAAAAGAAAACAUUUAAUUGAGGCUUGUUUAAAGGUUCAGUGGUUUAGUUCAUUAUCAUUAUGGCAGGAAGCAUGGAAGGAUGCAGGCAGACAUAGUGCUGGAGCAGGAGCAGAGAGUUCUACAUCUGCAGGCAGCAGGAACAGAGAGUGCUACUGGACCUGGCUUGAUCUUCAGAAACCUCCAAACCCACCCCCUAGUGACACACUUCUUCCAACAAGGCCAAACCUCUUAAUAUUGCUACUCCCUUUGGCCUAUGGGACCAUUUUUAUUCAAAUGAAUAGACACACACACACACUAGUUUAGAAAGACAAAAUUUAGGUAAAAGUAUAACUAAAAUAAGCUUCUGUAAAUGCACUCUUUCUAGGUGAGAUUGUGGGGAAAUGCUUUUUCUCCUAUCUUCCGGCACACUCUGUGGAGACCUAUGGUUUCACAGAAUUUGUGAGCUAUUAGGAUCUGACUGUCUCCAUAAUAAAGCUUGAUUUGGGAACCUCUUGCUCAGCUGUGAAUGUGGACAAGCUCUCUCUCUUCUACUAUCAUGUGGGCACUUUGACCCAGGAGAAGCCACUGAAUGGAAUGGAAAUGUUAUGUAGAGAAGAACUAGACUCAGUCAGAUAAGAAACACAACUGAAGUUCAAAAUAUCUGGUGCAAACCUGGCUUUGUCCAGAGUUAAGCAGGAGGACUUAAAGUUGGAAACUGUAGCAAAAAAAAAGAGCUGAAGACUCACACUCUGAGCAGGAUUGCAGUGUAAGGUGCAGAACGAGGCGAAGUUUUACAUCAAUAAAAUGAAAAGAUGUGAAUUUGAGAUUUUACUCUGAAAGCGAUUUCCUGCCAGCAUCUGGGGACUUUACUUUCCUUCUCCCAAAUCUCUUACCAAUACCUGGAAGAGUGAGCAGAGAGUCUCCCUGACUGCCUUUUUCUGAGAAAAGCCCACAUUCCCACCAAAGACAUGUUAUUCCAUGAGAUGAUAAUCCAAUCCCACUGUGAACACCCUUCUCAAUGUUCUGACCCAUUGAGGGAGGGAAACACACUUUCUCUCUCUCUCUCUCUCUCUCUCUCUCUCUCUCUCUCUCUCUCUCUCUCUCUCUGUCACCUAGGCCAAGCCUUCUUCAAUUCUCUGCCCACAUUGGAGGUUUUAGAGCCUCAAGUUUGGAAGAACCCAGUGAUUCAUGUGUGACUCAGCCCACAGGCCAAUCACGAAGUGAGCAUGGUUUGCUGGUGACAUGAGCAGUUGUUUAAAGUCAGAAUAGUUUCAAAUUUUCUGUUCUUUUCUCAUCUAACCUUCCUUCUAAAGGGGCUAUAAACUAUUCUGGCUGAAGCUGCUUCCUUUUUAUCAAGGCUCUAGCAGAUGAAAGGCAAAGAGCAGACACGGGGACAAUGGACUUUGAGCAGCUCUGUUCUUUCUCUCUGCAAAAGAAAAGAAAUUUUAGCCCAAAGAUGAUCCAAAAGGCCAUGCCAGGCCAGCCUCUUUGUGCCUUGUGUUUAUAAUAUAAGACUUUCUUGGGAAACUCUGCUCAACAAAAAGUGCUGUGGAUGUCACAUACCCAUGUACCCAAACCACAUAGAUAACUUUACAUUUUCUAGUAACCACGUUACAAAGAAAUAAGAGAAGCCUUUAUGUAAUUCACUAACCCCAUCAUAUAGCAUUUCAAAAGGAUAUUUUGAAAUAUUUUUAGAAUUGUUUGUGAAGGAUUUUGCCUUCUUCUGUCUUCUUGCCUGCGUUUGUGUGUGCAGCACAGCCAUUGUAUAUGUGUGUACAUGUGUGGAGUUCAGCUGUCUUUUUUUUUUUUCCGGAGCUGAGGACCAAACCCAGGGCCUUGCACUUGCUAGGCAAGCGCUCUACCACUGAGCUAAAUCCCCAACCCCCAGCUGUCUUCUAUGAGGAGCUGUCCACCUUGAUUUUGAAACAGUAUCCCUCACUGGUCUGGAAGUUACCAAAGAAGAUAUGCCAGCUGUCCAUUGAGCCCUAGGGAUCUGCCUAGGGCUCAAGCUCUGGGAUUACAAGCACAUACCACAAUGCCUGGCAUUUUUAAUGUGAGUUCGAAAGAAUAAGGUCAUUGUGCCUGCAAAGCAAGCACUCACAGUCUGUGCCGUCUCUGGGUCCUAUGUAAUUUCUUCUAAUCUACAAUAUCAACAUCUAUUUUAUAUUGAUGAUAUAUUCCAAUUGAGAUCUUCUGUCACUCAAAUGGACAGGUGAGUAUGUGGCCACUACACUAGACCAGCAAGCUCUAGACCUGGGCUGCACCUGCUUGUUCAGAAUAUGAAAUAUUAGCAAGUCAUAGAGAGGCUUUUGCUGGCAAUAAUAAAAUAUUAAUAGAGUUGUAUAUCAGUAAGUGUUUUCUGUGUUGGAGAUGAAAAGCAUAUAUUUAUAAAGCUUUUAUGAUUCUUUUAAGUGUUUGGAGGGUGAAAAUGAAAUAAGAUAAGAGGAAGAUAUUAGAGCAUAUGAAAGAGAUGGAUGUUGCCAAUGAAAAUAUCCUGAGUAAUUUAUAACCUAAUAGAGAAGAUGGAUGUUUUCAAAGGCUUUACCUCUCAAUGAGAAACAAUAUGUAUAGAAAUACCAACAUGAAAGGAAACAGCUGGUACAUUCUACAGAAAUUAGAGACGACUUUCUCCCUCUAAGGUAGUAAAAUAUUGUAAAGAAUGUUUAUUGUAGGCAUGGCUCAGGGGGAGGGAUAGAACCUGAAUUCUGCUUUAAUCUCCUUCCUGACCUGUAAUAACACACUCUACCCCAAAGUAACUUAGGGAAGGAAGAGGUCACAGCCCAUCACUGAUUGGAGUCAGGAUGGGAAGUCAGGGCAGGAAAAUGAAGGUUUGCUGUGCCAGGCAGUAUUAUCUCUGGCCAGGGACCUCGCCCACAGCCAAGGAAACAGGGAAGAACUGUAGAUGCUGCUGUUUUCUGCCUUAAUCUCAGACUUAUUCUCAGCUAGCUCUCAUAGGCAGACCAAUGACAUUUACCUAGGGAAUAGUACUUACCACAGUGGGUUGAGCCCUCCUACAUCAAUUAACAAGACAAUUAUCUCCCACAAGCCAACCUGACCUGGGCUUCCUCACUUGAGACUUUUCCUUUCCAGUUACUCUAAGCAGUAUGAAGCUGUCAAUUGAUGUUAGCCAGGACACACUCCAAUAAAUUACUAGAAAUAUAAAAGAGGAUACCACAGUCAUGAGACAUAUAUAUCUCAUAUCAUUAAAAGGGAUAUUCCUCAUUCUAGCUACUUUAAUUCCUUAUCUUGGGGAAAUUGCUCCGGAUGGUUGUAAAAGUGAGCAUAAAGACACCGACACAAGAGUGCUGAAGACUUGGAGUCGACCCAAAUACCCACUAAGAGGCAGGAAUGAAAGGAACAAUGAUCCCAUCUGGAUGUCCAGAGCAGUGUUGUGAAGCCAUUUAAUUGCAAAUGGAAUUUUCCUUUAUUACACACAUGCACCUAGUUCACGAAAAUGUUAAUGUUGAGGGGCAAUACAGAUCUAACACCAUUGAAAGCACCCACCUAGGUUUGGGGAGGUUACUCAGUGGCUAAAGUACUUCUUACACAAGAAGAGGACCUGUGUUUGACCUCCAACACCAUUGUAAUGAGCUAGGUAGGAUAACACAUAACUGCCUUCCUGACUCUGGGAAGAAGGACACAGGAGGAUAUUGAGCUGCAAGGUUCAUGGAAGACCAUGUCUUUAAGGAUAAUGUGGGUAGUGUUUGAGGAAGACAACAAAUGUCAAGUUUUAGUCUCUGAAUUUCCAGGUGCCUGUGCACACACAAACAUGCACACAGAGCAAGAAUGAACCUCACAUGCAAAAACGGAGCAUUUAUAGAACUUAUUCUCAUUUUACUUUUUGGAAAACAUUAUUUUAAUGGGAAGCACAUGGUGUUUAAUUAACAAUUAGAAUAAGUAAUACAUUUCUUUACAUUUCGAUUACAAUGGAAACAGAAACAUAAGGAUUCCCAAAGGGUUACUAUGGAGAGGGAGAUUUCCUUCUAGGGCGAACAUUACAAAGAAAAUACAAGGGAUUCAUUCUUCAGUCAAACUUAUUCUAUUUUCCUCUGACUUUGUCAUCUGGACAAAGACUUCAUUUCAAGCCUUCAACUUUCUCUCUCUCUCUCUCUCUCUCUCUCUCUCUCUCUCUCUCUCUUUUUUGGUUCACUUGGAAUUUAGAAGAAACACACAUACACACACACACACACACGAGAGAGAGAGAGAGAGAGAGAGAGAGAGAGAGAGAGAGAGAGAGAGAGAGAGAGAGAGAGAGGGAGGAGACCUGUAAACUGAUUUCCUAUCUGGCAGGUUUAUAGAUUACAACCAUCACCCAGGGAUGGUGCGAGUUUACCUGACAAGUGUGAAGGCCAAAAAGCUCAAGGGGCAAAAGGGAAGUGGUGAGCUGGGAAAAUGUGCAACAGCAAAGCUAUUAAAACAUCAAAUCAGCUCAGCAAAAGGUCAGCCAAGAGCAUGUCACAUAAAGAACAGAACACAGAAUGCACCUUUCCGUGGCGAGCAUGGCAUAGUUAUAUUCCGGCUCUCAGAGAAAGAUACACUGUGAUUCACAGGCCUCUGAGUAUUCCCUCCCCAUAAACCUGCAUAAUGAAACCUCACCCCUUAGUCAUGGUUAAACUAAAUAGCUAAACCAUAGCCAUAAUGCUAUGGCAUUAAGAUGUAGGGUGUAUAAAGAGAUGGGGUUUGUCAACUUCAGACAUUGUAACAAAACAUCUGAGACAAUGAUCUCAUGAAAAAAACUGACUUGCUUGGUCUUCAGUCCAAGAUCAGGUGUACAAAGUUUUGGAAUUUGGCAGGGAUAGCGUGGCAUGUUGUAAAUAUACCACUGAUGAAAAUACUUGUCUUAUGAAUCAGAAAGCAAACAACAGAAGACAGGAAGAAACUGGCAUCAUAUAAUAUCCUUCCAGGGUAAACCCCAAUGACUUAAGGUGGUCCCAUCAAGUUUGUUUCAUAAGACUUAACCCCUUUACACCUGGUAUCACCACCCUGGGUGCCAAGCCUCAGAGCAAAGGUGAUAGGGAUGGAUACCUUAUAAAAUUCACCCAGGCAAAUCUGUGUCCUCUGUUGACAAAUCUGGAGCACCUUGAACUUUCCAACACAUUUUUGACAUUUAUAAGAAACCAACUUUGUCGUGAUUUUGUUAUUGCAGCAAACAGACACUAAGACAGUGAAUUUUUUUACAUCCUCACAUAUCCCCCUAUCUCUUCCCCUCUUUCUUCCCUUCUCACUUUCUAUAGCAAGCAUGUCCCCCUACACAUGAUCAUAUAGUUUCACGCUCAGGCUGCAACCAUAGUUACCUCUUCCCUGUCUCCCUCUGGGUCCAUUUAAAGUGCCAAGCCCCUUCCUCCAUAUUGUCAAGUGAUCUGGAGCAUUUUCUAGGAAGCCAGCCCACCGCCCCUACAUAUUCCAUCUGCUUUUUUGUUUUGUUUUGUUUUGUUUUAACUCCCUUAAUUUCCAAUGUGAUUGUACAUUUUCAGUUCUCCUUGGAAUAUUUCACAGGAUGCCUUAGAGAUAAGGACUCGAAGAACCACCUGGAGCUCAUAAAGAUACCCAGGGACUGGGUGCCAGGUGCCUCCUGUUAGUAAGUCUUUCUCACUUUCCCCUUCUUCCCUCUGGCCCUGCUCCUCUUGCUUCAUUCAUUUUUUUUCUCCUUCUUUGUCACUGCAGAGUCAGGAUCUGCAAGCAGGCUAUACCUGGGAACUCUUGUCUGACUUUCCGAGGAGGACAUGAACACCCAAACAGGGAUCAGGCAUCAACUGCAAAACAGAGCAAGGACCCCACAGGAGCCUAGCUCACUGAAUUAAUGGGUUUACUGGAGGGAUUUCUAAGAACAUGGGUGUCUUAAAGGCACCAACACCACCAAAGAAGCAGCCACUCCAAUGUGGGUGAUGCCUUGCAAAUGUUGUAGCCUGCCAGCCAUGCAGAGAUCUCUGUUAUUGAAUAUCAAGCAACUGCUUACUGAUUUUACAUAUGGAGGUGGAGGUUGGUAUGGAUCUUGUAAGCUUCUGCAUUUCCUAAAUCUACUACGUUGUACCUUUGUAAAUUUAUUUAUAUUCUGAGUCUUAUGAGUUUCCCCUUGCUCCUGAGGUUUGAGAUUAAUAGUGAUGUUUCAAUAUAGAAGCUGAGUGCUGGUGCUCCUGUGAAGUUUACUCUUAUCUCCUAAGGUAAAGUCAUACUGAACUUAUUUACUUUUCCAUUUGAUACUUCUAUACACCUUCAAUGUGCUUUCUAAUUUUCAUGUCCCACAUCUUGCCUUCAUAUCUUUUUAAUGCUUUAUAUAUUUAAUAUACAUUUAUAUAUGAUAUAAAUCUAUGCAUAUGUCUGCAAUGUUGGUGCAUUGUGUGUAUGCUUGUGCUUUCAGGGUCAAGAAGAGAAGAGUAUUCAAUUCCCUACAACUGUAUUUAAGGGUGAUUGUGGGACACCAUGUGAAUGUUAUGAAUUGGGUCUUCCAUAGAAGCACUAAGUGUUCCAUACCACAGAGGCACCUUUCUGCUCUUCUUGUUUUCGGGUUGUAAAAUUGAGCCUCAAGAUAGUUUUUAAAUAUUUGUUUUUAAUUAUUUAUAUGCGCUGCUUAGACCUAUCCAUCUGCAUGUGGGUGCCAAACAAGGGCAUCAGGUAUCCUCCACACACUCUCUACCUUUGAGGCAGUGUCUCUCUCUCUAAACCUUGACUAGACUGCAAACCAGCAAAGUCAAGGAUCUACCUAGCUUUACCCUGUUGAGCUGCCAUUCCACACGCUUGCAAGUUUACUUUUUUUCUAUGUUGGUACUGGAAUCUGAAGUCUGGUCCUCAUGAUUGUGGGGCGAGCUCUUUUAAUCUCUGAGCCGUCUCUUUAGCCCUGAGAUGCUAGCUCUAUGCGUGAGGUUUCCCUUCUGUCCUUUGCAUUUUCCUGAUGGACUGUCAACACAUAUUAGAUCCAUAAAAAAGCAUCUGCAUCUUUCAUUUGGCCACCGUGAGUUACAGUGCUUGUGUGUUCUUCUCUGGAUAAACUGUUUGCACGUAAGUCUGUUCCUAGAGGAGGGACCAUGGUGCUUAAUGAUGCUUUGAUUGUGGAAUCUGUGUGCAUACUGAGGGACAACUUGCUUUCCAGCUAUACAUGCAUAAUCCAGGAAGCAAAGAACACUGGAUAGAGAAGGAGAUCUAU